UACGUAGGGGGCAAGCGUUAUCCGGAAUUACUGGGUGUAAAGGGAGCGUAGACGGUAAUGUAAGUCUGGAGUGAAAGGCGGGGGCCCAACCCCCGGACUGCCCUGGAAACUAUGUUACUAGAGUGCAGGAGAGGUAAGCGGAAUUCCUAGUGUAGCGGUGAAAUGCGUAGAUAUUAGGAGGAACACCAGUGGCGAAGGCGGCUUACUGGACUGUAACUGACGUUGAGGCUCGAAAGCGUGGGGAGCAAACAGG
rnacentral:rRNA from 1 species